rnacentral:rRNA from 1 species
AUGGAGUGGGGGACGAGAUCUUUGGAGAGAGAGCAACAGUGGGCUGGUAGCGCGCCCGCACGUGAGGCCGCCGCCGCCAUGGGCCAAGAUUACUCCCCGGCCGCAUGCAGUGAGUCUACAGUGUCCCAUCCGGCCGGGGACCAGAGAAGAUCGGUCUGCCUUGAGUUCAGUUCAGUACUCCUUUCAAGCAGUACCCUCGGAUCAAAAUCCAGGGCAUACGGUCCCAAUUAUAGAUCAGAUUUUACAGGUUCAAAUUUGACUAGUUUAUCAAGUAAAAAACCUAAAUUACAGCUAAUGUAA